CAAGUCAACAACAACAACAACAACUAUGGGGAAACCAUUUUUUCAGAAUCCAAGCAUUGUUGAUGAAUAUUAUCUGGUGAAAGUAUUGUUUUCGUGUCUUUGCAAGUGACGGAUGUUCAGAGGACGUUGUCAACAUGGCUCUAAUCUACUAAAGUGGAACUCGACAAGGGACCAGAUUUUAGAUCAAAACUUGUGAACAAAAAGGAUGGUGUUGUUUUCCAACCGACCUAAGUAACAUUGACAAGGAAUUAACAGCUGUUUUCUCAAGGAGAUUGGUCAAUGGACUCUAAGAAGCUGCAAAGUACUAAAAAACAGUCACAGUUGUCUCUUGCCAAUGGCAGUCAUCAGAAAAUUGAAAAGAGAAAAGAGUGUUGAAAACAUAGCUAACUCUACCAAACUCGUUUAGAGAAAUAAAGCUAUCAAAAGGCAA